CCCAGUUUCAUUUCGUAAAUAUUUACUUAUCAGCCUUGACUUACAUAUUUUGCUAACGGGUAGAAAAAAUGAAUAAACUCAUUUUUUCCGCGUUUCUCAUUUUGGGCGUGGUCGCAUUAUGCGCUUCGAUUGAAUUCGAACGUCCUAGUUUCGAGAUCCAUCGUAAAAGUGACGCCAUCUCGGAUUCACUUGCCUACGGGGAAAUACAAAAUUCUAAAGAUCUGGAACCCGUCCUUAUUGGCGAGCAAAUUCAUCACAGAGAAAAACGGGCCCGAAAUCGUGGCAGAGAAUGGAACAGAGGGCGAGGUAACAGUCGAGGUUGUGUCGGGAAAAAGUGUUAUUACGCUUGGCAAAGGGGGUAAAUAUUAAUCAAGGCGGAGCUUUGCCAAUAAAUUGUCUACAAACCGUUAAGGUACAUAAAUUGGUGGCCAUAACGUUUCCAACAUAUACCUCAAACCGAGUACAUAAUUUUAAUACAAUUUUUUGUAACUUCAUUCACCAUAAAUAGGUUCAUUUAAUGCAUCUCCAUUAACCUCUGUAGUAUAGAAUUCUCGGUUAAAUAGACUCAUAAUAGGAUCGAUUUAUUUAUUAUUUGACCACUAAUAAAGUAAUAAAUCCUUCCAAAAAAAUUCAUGUCACAAAA